GAUUGCGCCACAGAGACAAGCGCUUCCGCUUCUACUGGUGAUAUGGGAAGGGCCCACUCACUGAACUAACUCCCUUCCCUCUACUCCCAGAGCCCGCCCGGCAGGACCACCGAGCAAGGCCUUGGAAAACCAGAGAGAUUAGAGCGAAUGGGGAAAUGGAGAGAGAACCUGAAAGAGCCCCAAACUCGAGGACCUAUUGCUCCCCAAGAAUAACAUCUUCCAGAAGAACUAGACAGAAAACUAGGCGUCUGGGAACUCUGAAAUCCUUGGAGGAGUAGCAUCAUCAUGACCCUCUGUGUUCCUUUUGGCAAAGGACUUGCUCCCAUUGUUUGCUUGUUCCAUUGUCUGUCUGUUAAAUAAAUAAAACCCUUUUCAUAUAUCUUUAAACUUA
ensembl:lncRNA novel transcript